rnacentral:rRNA from 1 species
CAAGUCGAACGCGGUUCCCCGCAAGGGGUAACUGAGUGGCGAACGGGUGAGUAACACGUGGGUGACCUGCCUUCGAGCGGGGGAUAACAUCCCGAAAGGGGUGCUAAUACCGCAUGAGAUCCUGCCUUUGAAGAGGUGGAGAUUAAAGCUGGGGAUCGUAAGACCUGGCGCUUGAAGAGGGGCCCGCGUCCGAUUAGCUAGUUGGUGGGGUAACGGCCUACCAAGGCGACGAUCGGUAGCCGGCCUGAGAGGGCGGACGGCCACACUGGGGCUGAGACACGGCCCAGACUCCUACGGGAGGCAGCAGUGGGGAAUUGUUCGCAAUGGGCGAAAGCCUGACGACGCAACGCCGCGUGGAGGACGAAGAUUUUCGGAUCGUAAACUCCUUUCGAUCGGGACGAAUGACUGGUGAUCCAAUACAUCACCAGAGUGACGGUACCGAGAGAAGAAGCCCCGGCUAACUCCGUGCCAGCAGCCGCGGUAAUACGGGGGGGGCAAGCGUUGUUCGGAAUUACUGGGCGUAAAGGGCGCGUAGGCGGCCUGCUAAGUCACACGUGAAAUCCCUCGGCUCAACCGGGGAACUGCGUGUGAUACUGGCGGGCUUGAAUUCGGGAGAGGGAUGUGGAAUUCCAGGUGUAGCGGUGAAAUGCGUAGA